rnacentral:rRNA from 1 species
UACGUAGGGUGCGAGCGUUGUCCGGAAUUAUUGGGCGUAAAGAGCUUGUAGGCGGUCUGUCGCGUCUGCUGUGAAAAUCCGGGGCUCAACCCCGGACUUGCAGUGGGUACGGGCAGGCUAGAGUGUGGUAGGGGAGACUGGAAUUCCUGGUGUAGCGGUGAAAUGCGCAGAUAUCAGGAGGAACACCGAUGGCGAAGGCAGGUCUCUGGGCCACUACUGACGCUGAGAAGCGAAAGCGUGGGGAGCGAACAGG